rnacentral:rRNA from 1 species
CUACGGGACGCAGCAGUGGGGAAUAUUGGACAAUGGGGGAAACCCUGAUCCAGCAAUGCCGCGUGUGUGAAGAAGGCCUGCGGGUUGUAAAGCACUUUCGGUUGGGAGGACUGCUUCUAGCACUAAUAUUGUUGGAAGUUGACGUUACCUUCAGAAGAAGCACCGGCUAACUCCGUGCCAGCAGCCGCGGUAAUACGGAGGGUGCAAGCGUUAAUCGGAAUUACUGGGCGUAAAGCGCGCGUAGGCGGCUAGAUCAGUCGGGUGUGAAAGCCCCGGGCUUAACCUGGGAACUGCAUCCGAUACUGUCUAGCUUGAGUACAGGAGAGGAGAGUGGAAUUCCACAUGUAGCGGUGAAAUGCGUAGAUAUGUGGAGGAACACCAAUGGCGAAAGCAGCUCUCUGGCCUGAUACUGACGCUGAGGUGAGAAAGCGUGGGGAGCAAACAGGAUUAGAUACCCUAGUAGUC